rnacentral:rRNA from 1 species
GACGAACGCUGGCGGCGUGCUUAACACAUGCAAGUCGAACGGAAAGGCCCUGCUUUUGUGGGGUGCUCGAGUGGCGAACGGGUGAGUAACACGUGAGUAACCUGCCCUUGACUUUGGGAUAACUUCAGGAAACUGGGGCUAAUACCGGAUAGGAGCUCCUGCUGCAUGGUGGGGGUUUGAAAGUUUCGGCGGUUGGGGAUGGACUCGCGGCUUAUCAGCUUGUUGGUGGGGUAGUGGCUUACCAAGGCUUUGACGGGUAGCCGGCCUGAGAGGGUGACCGGCCACAUUGGGCCUGAGAUACGGCCCAGACUCCUACGGGAGGCAGCAGUGGGGAAUAUUGCACAAUGGGCGGAAGCCUGAUGCAGCAACGCCGCGUGCGGGAUGACGGCCUUCGGGUUGUAAACCGCUUUCGCCUGUGACGAAGCGUGAGUGACGGUAAUGGGUAAAGAAGCACCGGCUAACUACGUG